rnacentral:rRNA from 1 species
CGAACCGACUUACGUUGAAAAGUGAGCGGAUGAACUGAGGGUAGCGGAGAAAUUCCAAUCGAACCUGGAGAUAGCUGGUUCUCUCCGAAAUAGCUUUAGGGCUAGCCUCAAGUGAUGAUUAUUGGAGGUAGAGCACUGUUUGGACGAGGGGCCCCUCUCGGGUUACCGAAUUCAGACAAACUCCGAAUGCCAAUUAAUUUAACUUGGGAGUCAGAACAUGGGUGAUAAGGUCCGUGUUCGAAAGGGAAACAGCCCAGACCACCAGCUAAGGUCCCAAAAUAUAUGUUAAGUGGAAAAGGAUGUGGCGUUGCCCAGACAACUAGGAUGUUGGCUUAGAAGCAGCCAUCAUUUAAAGAGUGCGUAAUAGCUCACUAGUCGAGUGACACUGCGCCGAAAAUGUACCGGGGCUAAACAUAUUACCGAAGCUGUGGAUUGUCCUUUGGACAAUGGUAGGAGAGCGUUCUAAGG